UACAGAGGUCCCAAGCGUUGUUCGGAUUCACUGGGCGUAAAGGGUGCGUAGGUGGUGAGGUAAGUCGGAUGUGAAAUCUCCGAGCUCAACUCGGAAAUGGCAUUGGAAACUACCUUGCUUGAGGGUUGGAGGGGGGACUGGAAUGCUUGGUGUAGCAGUGAAAUGCGUAGAUAUCAAGCGGAACACCAGUGGCGAAGGCGAGUCCCUGGACAACUCCUGACACUGAGGCACGAAAGCUAGGGGAGCAAACAGG
rnacentral:rRNA from 1 species